rnacentral:rRNA from 1 species
UACGUAGGGGGCUAGCGUUAUCCGGAAUUACUAGGCGUAAAGGGCAGGCAGGCGGAUCCAUAAGUUUAUCGUUUAAGGCGUCGGCUUAACCGGCGUAGGGCGGUAGAUACUGUGUAUCUGGAAUGCGGUUGGGGAAGACAGAAUUCCUGGUGUAGCGGUGGAAUGCGCAGAGAUCAGGAGGAAUACCGAAGGCGAAGGCAGUCUUCCAAGCCGUUAUUGACGCUCAACUGCGAAGGUGUGGGUAUCAGACAGGAUUAGAUACCCCCGUAGUCCCUGAG